rnacentral:RNase_P_RNA from 1 species
GGAGUCGGCCUGGCAGCCGCCGUUCACGGGCAGGUCGUGCACGGAGGAAAGUCCGGGCUCCGCAGAGCGGGAUGCAGGGUAAUUCCCUGGCACGGCGACGUGACGAAGAGGGCCACAGAGACGAGUCCUCGGGUGCAAAUCCGAGGGGUGAAACGAGGCAACCUCCAUCCGGAGCAACACCAAAUAGGCAAGCGUGGUGGUGCAAGCCACCGCGGCCGGCUCGGCCGAGCUUGCGGGUAGGUGGCUAGAGCCCGGGGGCGACCCCGGGCCCAGAGGAAUGGCUGUCGGCCCCGCCGGGUUCGCCCGGCGGGGUGCACAGAACCCGGCUUACCGGCCGUCUCCCGUU